GGCAUUACUCACCAAUAUUUCAUGCUAAAUUGCCUCUACCGUGCUUUACAAUAACACUACCUUACUCUGGUUCUUUUGCAUUCAGACUGAAGAGAUCAGACUCUGUCCUUAGCUGGCCCUACCUUGAUAUUUAGCCUAGCCUUACCCCUCUUUCGGUUGCCAGUUGAUUGGAUUUCUUCAAGUAUUUUACCUGCAUCCUGAUUGAGUCUUGACGGUCUUGCU